rnacentral:rRNA from 1 species
UCAAGUAAUUAAGUGCAUGUGGUGGAUGCCUUGGCAGUCAGAGGCGAUGAAAGACGUGAUAGCCUGCGAAAAGCUCCGGGAGGCGGCAAAUAUCCUUUGAUCCGGAGAUGUCUGAAUGGGGAACCCACCUACUUUAAGGUAGGUAUUGCAACAUGAAUACAUAGUGUUGCAAGGCGAACGAGGGGAAGUGAAACAUCUCAGUACCCUUAGGAAAAGAAAUCAAUUGAGAUUCCCUCAGUAGCGGCGAGCGAACGGGGAUCAGCCCAUUAAGUUAUGUGUGUUUUAGUGGAACGCUCUGGGAAGUGCGAACGUAGAGGGUGAUAUUCCCGUACACGAAAGGGCACACAUAAUGAUGACGAGUAGGGCGAGGCACGUGAAACCUUGUCUGAAUAUGGGGGGACCAUCCUCCAAGGCUAAAUACUCCUGACUGACCGAUAGUGAACCAGUACCGUGAGGGAAAGGCGAAAAGAACCCCUGUGAGGGAGUGAAAUAGAUCCUGAAACCGCAUGCAUACAAGCAGUGGGAGCACCUUCGUGGUGUGACUGCGUACCUUUGUAUAAUGGGUCAGCGACUUAUAUUCAGUAGCGAGGUUAACCGUAUAGGGGAGCCGUAGAGAAAUCGAGUCUUAAUAGGGCGUUUAGUUGCUGGGUAUAGACCCGAAACCAGGCGAUCUAUCCAUGAGCAGGUUGAAGGUUGGGUAACACUAACUGGAGGACCGAACCCACUGUCGUUGAAAAGCCAGGGGAUGACUUGUGGAUAGGGGUGAAAGGCUAAUCAAGCCUGGUGAUAGCUGGUUCUCCCCGAAAGCUAUUUAGGUAGCGCCUCGGACGAAUACCAUAGGGGGUAGAGCACUGUUUCGGCUAGGGGGUCAUCCCGACUUACCAAACCGAUGCAAACUCCGAAUACCUAUGAGUACUAUCCGGGAGACAGACUGCGGGUGCUAACGUCCGUAGUCAAGAGGAAAACAAUCCAGACCGCCAGCUAAGGCCCCAAAAUCAUAGUUAAGUGGGAAACGAUGUGGGAAGGCAUAGACAGCUAGGAGGUUGGCUUAGAAGCAGCCACCCUUUAAAGAAAGCGUAAUAGCUCACUAGUCGAGUCGGCCUGCGCGGAAGAUGUAACGGGCUAAAACUAUGUGCCGAAGCUGCGGAUGUAUACUUUGUAUACGUGGUAGGGAGCGUUCUGUAAGCCGAUGAAGGUGUGUUGAGAAGCAUGCUGGAGGUAUCAGAAGUGCGAAUGCUGACGUGAGUAACGACAAAACGGGUGAAAAACCCGUUCGCCGAAAGACCAAGGGUUCCAGUCCAACGUUAAUCGGGGCUGGGUGAGUCGACCCCUAAGGCGAGGCCGAAAGGCGUAGUCGAUGGGAAAAUGGUUAAUAUUCCAUUACUUCUGUGUAAUGCGAUGAGAGGACGGAGAAGGCUAAAUCAGCCUGGCGUUGGUUGUCCAGGUGAAAGGAUGUAGGCAUGUAUCUUAGGCAAAUCCGGGGUACUCUAUGCUGAGAUCUGAUAGCAAGCUGUACUUGUACAGCGAAGUGGUUGAUGCCAUGCUUCCAGGAAAAGUCUCUAAGCUUCAGUUACACAGGAAUCGUACCCGAAACCGACACAGGUGGUCAGGUCGAGUAGACCAAGGCGCUUGAGAGAACUCUGCUGAAGGAACUAGGCAAAAUGGUACCGUAACUUCGGGAGAAGGUACGCUGUUGUUGGUGAUGGAACUCGCUUCCUGAGCUGACGACAGCCGCAGAAACCAGGCCGCUGCAACUGUUUAUUAAAAACAUAGCACUCUGCAAACACGAAAGUGGACGUAUAGGGUGUGAUGCCUGCCCGGUGCUGGAAGGUUAAUUGAUGGGGUUAGCGUAAGCGAAGCUCUUGAUCGAAGCCCCAGUAAACGGCGGCCGUAACUAUAACGGUCCUAAGGUAGCGAAAUUCCUUGUCGGGUAAGUUCCGACCUGCACGAAUGGCAUAAUGAUGGCGGCGCUGUCUCCAGCAGAGGCUCAGUGAAAUCGAAAUCGCUGUGAAGAUGCAGUGUACCCGCGGCUAGACGGAAAGACCCCGUGAACCUUUACUGCAGCUUGACACUGAACUUUGACCUUACUUGUGUAGGAUAGGUGGGAGGCUUUGAAGCUGGAACGCUAGUUCCAGUGGAGCCGUCCUGAAAUACCACCCUGGUAAUGUUGAGGUUCUAACUCUGUCCCGUGAUCCGGGACGAGGACCGUGUCUGGUGGGUAGUUUGACUGGGGCGGUCUCCUCUAAAGAGUAACGGAGGAGUACGAAGGUGCGCUCAGCGUGGUCGGAAAUCACGCGUAGAGUAUAAAGGCAAAAGCGCGCUUAACUGCGAGACCCACAAGUCGAGCAGGUACGAAAGUAGGUCUUAGUGAUCCGGUGGUUCUGUAUGGAAGGGCCAUCGCUCAACGGAUAAAAGGUACUCUGGGGAUAACAGGCUGAUACCGCCCAAGAGUUCAUAUCGACGGCGGUGUUUGGCACCUCGAUGUCGGCUCAUCUCAUCCUGGGGCUGAAGCAGGUCCCAAGGGUAUGGCUGUUCGCCAUUUAAAGAGGUACGCGAGCUGGGUUUAGAACGUCGUGAGACAGUUCGGUCCCUAUCUACCGUGGGCGCUGGAAAUUUGAGAGGAUCUGCUCCUAGUACGAGAGGACCAGAGUGGACGAACCUCUGGUGUACCGGUUGUGACGCCAGUCGCAUCGCCGGGUAGCUAUGUUCGGAAGGGAUAACCGCUGAAAGCAUCUAAGCGGGAAGCCUACCUCAAGAUAAGAUUUCCCUAGGACUUUAUGUCCUCUAAAGAGCCGUUCGAGACUAGGACGUUGAUAGGUUGGAUGUGGAAGCAUAGUGAUAUGUGAAGCUGACCAAUACUAAUUGCUCGUGAGGCUUGACUA